ensembl:lncRNA
CUGCCCUGGAGCUCCCCACAGAGAGGCUCUGGUCUUCUCUGUCCCAGGCAUGACAGCUAAUACUCUUCCUUUUCCUGCCCUGUCAUUUCCCUCCUCCUCAAACACAGAUUUUCUUUCCUUAGACACGAUUUCUUCCGCUGUGUUAGUCAGAGCCUUGUGGUGUUUGUUUAAAUAAACAAAUCCGUCAUGAAUAUGAUAUGAAAGAAGACUGGACCUUCAGGCUGACUGAUGACGAACAUGAUGAGUUUCUUAAGGCAAAUCAGUCUUUUCCUCUUCAAAGGAGUCAGUUUUACUGGAAGUACUACAUAUAAUUAAUUACAUAUGCAUUAAUAUCAUGCUGACAGAAAAACAAAAAAGGAAUGUGUUGCCACACAGAAGAUGCAGAACCACUUUUAUGGCCGAAGUGGAACCAUGGUGUGAUACAGCUUCAAGUGAUCUUAAAGAUCAUCUGGCUCUUGAGCAUCCAGUGAAAAGUGGCUUCCUUGGUCUGAAGGUUUGGCCUGUCUAAGACAUUUAGUUAAAAUCAGUGUUUUGCAUCUUUGAUCAGAACAUGUGAACAAAUAGGACAAUUUGGCUUUCUCACAUAGCCACCACCAGCUUCCUUAAAUGACUGUUGCCAGGUGUCACCCUAGCAGGACUGAGCCAUUAAUCAUGGCAAAUGAAGCCGCAGGUAAUUAAGUAUGUAAUUUUGAGCUGUUCAAGUGAAAUUCCAUAGAAGGUACAUCAUGAACUGGGGUAUCAUGUAGAAUUACCAGCAAAAAGACACUGAGUGUGAAUACGGUCUUUCACUAACGUUUGAUUCACAUCCAAUCCUUGUAUGUUGAUCACUGAGAGUGUUAGUUUCUAUGUGAGCCUGGACUCAUGUGGUCUUCACAGGUAUAGAUUUAUGAUUGGGUAAGCCAGGUCACAUGCCCUUGUCUCACUAUGCCUCUCGGUUAUAAUGAGAGUCCGCGAUCCUCAGGAAGGGGGAGCAGUAGGAUUCUGCAGAGCAGCAGGAGGCAGCGGCCAAGGGGCUGGAGGAACAGCUGGACUGCAUAGGUGCCCUUACCCAGGGCAGUGGGACAGAGCAAGGCUGGGGGUCAGAGAGUGAGGCCAACCAGUGAUCCAGGCAACCUUGGUGCCAGGACACCUUGCAGUGGAUGGCAUGUGGCAGUGAGAAGCCACUGUCCUCCUCCCUCCCUCCAGGCCAUCUCAGCAGCAGUGGUCCGAGACUCAGGGAAGAGCCAGCAGUGAACAACACUGGCCCUGGGGGGUACUGGACAUGGGACCAAAGAUGUCUCAAGGGCAGUACCAAGUGGCAAAGCUGGAAGAUGGAUCAACAGACAAGAUUAGGAGAGAGAAGUAUCUGGUCUUAGUGGCAAAGGCCAAGGCUAAAGCAACAGAACAGGAGUGAGAGAAUUCAGGAGGUUGGAGCAAAUGUUAGGGCCAUGGAGAGACCACUUGUGGUUUGGAGCUAAGCCACUGAACUGAAGCUCCCAUGACAGUCUAUAGCCUUGGGUCUAGGUGGAGAGGACAGUGACAUUUCCAGGGGGAGAAAGGUCAUAAGUCACUGCAGAGUGAAUCCAGAGCCCUAGGAUUCCCAGAAAGCCUUUCACCUGUGCCCAGGAACCUGGGAAGCAGGAGCUGGCUUCCUGCAGGAGGGGUCGGAGAACUGGGCAGGGCACUCAUCCCCAGCUCCAGCCAUGAAUGGUGACUGGGGAGAGAGUCAGGCCACAGUCAUAGGGAG